rnacentral:rRNA from 1 species
UACGAAGGUCCCAAGCGUUAUCCGGAUUCACUGGGUUUAAAGGGUGCGUAGGUGGGUUGGUAAGUCAGUGGUGAAAUCUCCAGGCUUAACUUGGAAACUGCCAUUGAUACUAUCAAUCUUGAAUACCGUGGAGGUCAGCGGAAUAUGUCAUGUAGCGGUGAAAUGCUUAGAUAUGACAUAGAACACCAAUUGCGAAGGCAGCUGGCUACACGAAUAUUGACACUGAUGCACGAAAGCGUGGGAUCAAACAGGAUAGAAACCCGGGUAGGUC